UUUUCAUCACCCAUACAGUUAGUCUAUUAUUGUCCAGCCAACUAAAAGUGUCUUCUAGAAUAAGGUGAAAGAACAGAGAGGGCAAGGAAGAACUGAGAGCAUAUGGAGGAAGGAGAUUUAAAUUCACUUCCCCUAUUUCACCGGACAGUCAAUUGUGUAAAACAUAGGUCCCAGCAGUGAUGCAAUAGAAGGAGCAUAGGAAGACAGAAGUCAGCAAAUGACCAUCCAGUGCAGCAAGCAGCGUGCUCAGUAUCAACAGAGCCUUUCGCAGGGUGGACAUGGAGGAACCACUGGUUUGCACUGUCACCUAUUCUGCCAUCCCAGAUGACCACUUAGCACCUGAGCAGCUGGAUUCACCUUUCUCCCACUCCCUUAUUCAUUGAGCCCUGGGGGGGUUGUCUUCCAGGGAUUGCAUCAGGAGGCCACCUGACCUCUGACUUCCUGUUGGCUUCAGCUAAGAAGGAAGGAGGAACACUGAGAGGGGACAGGAGGAGGCAGGAGCAUGCUGUCAGGGUAUUGUGUUUUUCCAGUGCCUUCUCUGUGGGCUGCUGAGGGCCUGAAGCCCCUCCUCACAGCUCUCUCCCUCUCCAAAUCCUUAUGUGACCAGCCCCACCCCCUCACUCCCCCAGGCUCCCCGAGGUUGCCAGCCCCAAAGUAUUCACUGCUUUUUUGGCUCCCCCACACCUGUCCUUGCCUGUGUAAAUGUUCCCUUCAUUAAAUUCUCCUGAAAUGUC